GCAUAAGUCGUUCCACCAGUUGGUACCCUUUGCCCUCCGAAGGCAAAGGUCACACGUUCGAAUCGUGUCGGGUGCGCCA
rnacentral:tRNA from 1 species